rnacentral:rRNA from 1 species
AUACAAGGCAGACGGCUCAGUAACGCGUAGUCAACCUAACCUAUGGACGGGAAUAACCUCGGGAAACUGAGAAUAAUGCCCGAUAGAACACUAUACCUGGAAUGGUUUGUGUUCCAAAUGAUUUAUCGCCGUAGGAUGGGACUGCGGCCUAUCAGUUUGUUGGUGAGGUAAUGGCCCACCAAGACUAUUACAGGUACGGGCUCUGAGAGGAGUAGCCCGGAGAUGGGUACUGAGACACGGACCCAGGCCCUAUGGGGCGCAGCAGGCGAGAAAACUUUGCAAUGUGCGAAAGCACGACAAGGUUAAUCCGAGUGAUUUGUGCUAAACGAAUCUUUUGUUAGUCCUAGAAACACUAACGAAUAAGGGGUGGGCAAGUUCUGGUGUCAGCCGCCGCGAUAAAACCAGCACCUCAAGUGGUCAGGAUGAUUAUCGGGCCUAAAGCAUCCGUAGCCGGCUCUGUAAGUUUUCGGUUAAAUCUGUACGCUUGACGUACAGGCUGCCGGGAAUACUGCAGAGCUAGGGAGUGGGAGAGGUAGACGGUACUCG